UAUCGCGUGGCGGGUUCCUAUCAGGACACGGGUGUGGGGUGUCUCCUUCUACUUCUAUAGGCAGGCCAAGCUUCGUUCGUCUCCACGAAGGUGAAGCCAAGACCUUUUAGGCCCAGUGGACGUAGAUCUAGCUUAUUUUGAUGUGUCUGUAUUUGGAUUCACGGAUUACGAAAGCGAGGACUUCUACGUGCAAACAAAAAGGAAUAUUUCUUCUCUUAGUCUAGAAACCAUGUCCAUCGACCUGCCUGUCUCCAGCUGACAAGACCACCACUAACAGAAAUCGGCAGACAUCGUGACAUACGUCAACCAUUAGCCCAUUUAUGUGUGAACGACUGAGCUCCACUGUCGGAAAUUAUAUCAAAAUCGGUACUAUCUAGAAAGCUUUCGGAAAUUCGCAACACAUUAUAAUUUGGUGACUGAAAGGGAAAUAACGAUUUUCAGUUGUCUUCUUGGAGAGGAUCUGGCUGGGUAUUAUUACGUUUGGAGAACGAUCACUUCACGGAGUUGCCAGAUUGGAUUAUAGAGAAUUUUGUGGUUAUUUCUGUCGGGUAUUGCUUUUUCGAGAGUGUGGGCGUACUUCCUGAAGGCGAGUACGAGUGAUCUCGUCGUGAGAAUUGGCGUUUUCCGUCUCGGAUUGAGCAAUGUGGAUAUACCGGGAGGACUUUCGUGUGGCAAUAUUCCGAGUGUGAUGUACGCUGUGACUCCCUAGUGGUGGGCUGGCUGCCAUCAGGUAAUACAGUGAUCUAUC